UACAGAGGUCCCAAGCGUUGUUCGGAUUCACUGGGCGUAAAGGGUGCGUAGGUGGUUGGGUAAGUUUGAUGUGAAAGCUCAGGGCUUAACCCUGAAAUGGCAUUGAAUACUACUUAACUGGAGGUUUGGAGGGGGACUGGAAUUCUUGGUGUAGCAGUGAAAUGCGUAGAUAUCAAGAGGAACACCAGUGGCGAAGGCGAGUCCCUGGACAACACCUGACACUGAGGCACGAAAGCUAGGGGAGCAAACAGG
rnacentral:rRNA from 1 species